rnacentral:rRNA from 1 species
UUAAGCGACUAAGCGUACACGGUGGAUGCCCUGGCAGUCAGAGGCGAUGAAGGACGUGCUAAUCUGCGAUAAGCGUCGGUAAGGUGAUAUGAACCGUUAUAACCGGCGAUUUCCGAAUGGGGAAACCCAGUGUGAUUCGUCACACUAUCAUUAACUGAAUCCAUAGGUUAAUGAGGCGAACCGGGGGAACUGAAACAUCUAAGUACCCCGAGGAAAAGAAAUCAACCGAGAUUCCCCCAGUAGCGGCGAGCGAACGGGGAGCAGCCCAGAGCCUGAAUCAGUGUGUGUGUUAGUGGAAGCGUCUGGAAAGGCGCGCGAUACAGGGUGACAGCCCCGUACACAAAAAUGCACAUGCUGUGAGCUCGAUGAGUAGGGCGGGACACGUGGUAUCCUGUCUGAAUAUGGGGGGACCAUCCUCCAAGGCUAAAUACUCCUGACUGACCGAUAGUGAACCAGUACCGUGAGGGAAAGGCGAAAAGAACCCCGGCGAGGGGAGUGAAAAAGAACCUGAAACCGUGUACGUACAAGCAGUGGGAGCCUCUUUAUGGGGUGACUGCGUACCUUUUGUAUAAUGGGUCAGCGACUUAUAUUCUGUAGCAAGGUUAACCGAAUAGGGGAGCCGAAGGGAAACCGAGUCUUAACUGGGCGUUAAGUUGCAGGGUAUAGACCCGAAACCCGGUGAUCUAGCCAUGGGCAGGUUGAAGGUUGGGUAACACUAACUGGAGGACCGAACCGACUAAUGUUGAAAAAUUAGCGGAUGACUUGUGGCUGGGGGUGAAAGGCCAAUCAAACCGGGAGAUAGCUGGUUCUCCCCGAAAGCUAUUUAGGUAGCGCCUCGUGAAUUCAUCUCCGGGGGUAGAGCACUGUUUCGGCAAGGGGGUCAUCCCGACUUACCAACCCGAUGCAAACUGCGAAUACCGGAGAAUGUUAUCACGGGAGACACACGGCGGGUGCUAACGUCCGUCGUGAAGAGGGAAACAACCCAGACCGCCAGCUAAGGUCCCAAAGUCAUGGUUAAGUGGGAAACGAUGUGGGAAGGCCCAGACAGCCAGGAUGUUGGCUUAGAAGCAGCCAUCAUUUAAAGAAAGCGUAAUAGCUCACUGGUCGAGUCGGCCUGCGCGGAAGAUGUAACGGGGCUAAACCAUGCACCGAAGCUGCGGCAGCGACGCUUAUGCGUUGUUGGGUAGGGGAGCGUUCUGUAAGCCUGCGAAGGUGUACUGUGAGGUAUGCUGGAGGUAUCAGAAGUGCGAAUGCUGACAUAAGUAACGAUAAAGCGGGUGAAAAGCCCGCUCGCCGGAAGACCAAGGGUUCCUGUCCAACGUUAAUCGGGGCAGGGUGAGUCGACCCCUAAGGCGAGGCCGAAAGGCGUAGUCGAUGGGAAACAGGUUAAUAUUCCUGUACUUGGUGUUACUGCGAAGGGGGGACGGAGAAGGCUAUGUUGGCCGGGCGACGGUUGUCCCGGUUUAAGCGUGUAGGCUGGUUUUCCAGGCAAAUCCGGAAAAUCAAGGCUGAGGCGUGAUGACGAGGCACUACGGUGCUGAAGCAACAAAUGCCCUGCUUCCAGGAAAAGCCUCUAAGCAUCAGGUAACAUCAAAUCGUACCCCAAACCGACACAGGUGGUCAGGUAGAGAAUACCAAGGCGCUUGAGAGAACUCGGGUGAAGGAACUAGGCAAAAUGGUGCCGUAACUUCGGGAGAAGGCACGCUGAUAUGUAGGUGAAGUCCCUUGCGGAUGGAGCUGAAAUCAGUCGAAGAUACCAGCUGGCUGCAACUGUUUAUUAAAAACACAGCACUGUGCAAACACGAAAGUGGACGUAUACGGUGUGACGCCUGCCCGGUGCCGGAAGGUUAAUUGAUGGGGUUAGCGGUAACGCGAAGCUCUUGAUCGAAGCCCCGGUAAACGGCGGCCGUAACUAUAACGGUCCUAAGGUAGCGAAAUUCCUUGUCGGGUAAGUUCCGACCUGCACGAAUGGCGUAAUGAUGGCCAGGCUGUCUCCACCCGAGACUCAGUGAAAUUGAACUCGCUGUGAAGAUGCAGUGUACCCGCGGCAAGACGGAAAGACCCCGUGAACCUUUACUAUAGCUUGACACUGAACAUUGAGCCUUGAUGUGUAGGAUAGGUGGGAGGCUUUGAAGUGUGGACGCCAGUCUGCAUGGAGCCGACCUUGAAAUACCACCCUUUAAUGUUUGAUGUUCUAACGUUGGCCCCUAAUCGGGGUUGCGGACAGUGUCUGGUGGGUAGUUUGACUGGGGCGGUCUCCUCCUAAAGAGUAACGGAGGAGCACGAAGGUUGGCUAAUCCUGGUCGGACAUCAGGAGGUUAGUGCAAUGGCAUAAGCCAGCUUGACUGCGAGCGUGACGGCGCGAGCAGGUGCGAAAGCAGGUCAUAGUGAUCCGGUGGUUCUGAAUGGAAGGGCCAUCGCUCAACGGAUAAAAGGUACUCCGGGGAUAACAGGCUGAUACCGCCCAAGAGUUCAUAUCGACGGCGGUGUUUGGCACCUCGAUGUCGGCUCAUCACAUCCUGGGGCUGAAGUAGGUCCCAAGGGUAUGGCUGUUCGCCAUUUAAAGUGGUACGCGAGCUGGGUUUAGAACGUCGUGAGACAGUUCGGUCCCUAUCUGCCGUGGGCGCUGGAGAACUGAGGGGGGCUGCUCCUAGUACGAGAGGACCGGAGUGGACGCAUCACUGGUGUUCGGGUUGUCAUGCCAAUGGCACUGCCCGGUAGCUAAAUGCGGAAGAGAUAAGUGCUGAAAGCAUCUAAGCACGAAACUUGCCCCGAGAUGAGUUCUCCCUGACUCCUUGAGAGUCCUGAAGGAACGUUGAAGACGACGACGUUGAUAGGCCGGGUGUGUAAGCGCAGCGAUGCGUUGAGCUAACCGGUACUAAUGAACCGUGAGGCUUAACCUU